GAUGAACGCUGGCGGCGUGCCUAAUACAUGCAAGUCGAGCGAACGGACGAGAAGCUUGCUUCUCUGAUGUUAGCGGCGGACGGGUGAGUAACACGUGGAUAACCUACCUAUAAGACUGGGAUAACUUCGGGAAACCGGAGCUAAUACCGGAUAAUAUUUUGAACCGCAUGGUUCAAAAGUGAAAGACGGUCUUGCUGUCACUUAUAGAUGGAUCCGCGCUGCAUUAGCUAGUUGGUAAGGUAACGGCUUACCAAGGCAACGAUGCAUAGCCGACCUGAGAGGGUGAUCGGCCACACUGGAACUGAGACACGGUCCAGACUCCUACGGGAGGCAGCAGUAGGGAAUCUUCCGCAAUGGGCGAAAGCCUGACGGAGCAACGCCGCGUGAGUGAUGAAGGUCUUCGGAUCGUAAAACUCUGUUAUUAGGGAAGAACAUAUGUGUAAGUAACUGUGCACAUCUUGACGGUACCUAAUCAGAAAGCCACGGCUAACUACGUGCCAGCAGCCGCGGUAAUACGUAGGUGGCAAGCGUUAUCCGGAAUUAUUGGGCGUAAAGCGCGCGUAGGCGGUUUUUUAAGUCUGAUGUGAAAGCCCACGGCUCAACCGUGGGGGGUCAUUGGAAACUGGAAAACUUGAGUGCAGAAGAGGAAAGUGGAAUUCCAUGUGUAGCGGUGAAAUGCGCAGAGAUAUGGAGGAACACCAGUGGCGAAGGCGACUUUCUGGUCUGUAACUGACGCUGAUGUGCGAAAGCGUGGGGAUCAAACAGGAUUAGAUACCCUGGUAGUCCACGCCGUAAACGAUGAGUGCUAAGUGUUAGGGGGUUUCCGCCCCUUAGUGCUGCAGCUAACGCAUUAAGCACUCCGCCUGGGGAGUACGACCGCAAGGUUGAAACUCAAAGGAAUUGACGGGGACCCGCACAAGCGGUGGAGCAUGUGGUUUAAUUCGAAGCAACGCGAAGAACCUUACCAAAUCUUGACAUCCUUUGACAACUCUAGAGAUAGAGCCUUCCCCUUCGGGGGACAAAGUGACAGGUGGUGCAUGGUUGUCGUCAGCUCGUGUCGUGAGAUGUUGGGUUAAGUCCCGCAACGAGCGCAACCCUUAAGCUUAGUUGCCAUCAUUAAGUUGGGCACUCUAAGUUGACUGCCGGUGACAAACCGGAGGAAGGUGGGGAUGACGUCAAAUCAUCAUGCCCCUUAUGAUUUGGGCUACACACGUGCUACAAUGGACAAUACAAAGGGCAGCGAAACCGCGAGGUCAAGCAAAUCCCAUAAAGUUGUUCUCAGUUCGGAUUGUAGUCUGCAACUCGACUACAUGAAGCUGGAAUCGCUAGUAAUCGUAGAUCAGCAUGCUACGGUGAAUACGUUCCCGGGUCU
rnacentral:rRNA from 1 species